AAUGCACCAAUUUGUAAGUCGCUCUGGAUAAGAGUGUCUGCUAAAUUACUUAAA
rfam:Salmo salar isolate Sally breed double haploid chromosome ssa01, whole genome shotgun sequence.